CCUUAGUCCCAGCGCAGCCACCACCAGCUCUUUCUAUCCAACCUCGCCGCGCCGCCCAUCUCAUCCGCCACCAGCGAGCAGCCCGUUGCUCACUCCAUCGCACGCCGUCGUAGCGGCUGAAGUUCCCACAGUCAGGCAGCCGCCUGGUCUAGUGCGCCGCGCGCGCUCUGUUCCAGCUCGUCCAAGGCCAGCCCACGGACGCCGCCCUUCCCUCGCGUCCUCCACAGCUCCGUUGUCUUGCACACGCCUCCGCUUCCUCCCGGUCCACUACUGUCACCAGCUCUCCUCCACUGUCGUGCCUCUUUUUCUUAGCCACUACCACCCCAGUUUCUUCAUUCGGCCACUGGGAGAGGUAUUUGCUACUCAAUCUCCAAUUCUUGAUAGGCAUUGGAUUUACUUGGGGGUUUGUCAGUCAUUGGGUUUUCUGUCUUAACUGUUCGAUGCACCAGUGCUAGCAAUUGUGGUAUUUUCCCUUGUAUUAUUGUGCUAUUUUGCUAUACCCGUGGUACUGGGAAGUAACUGGACCUCUCUUUGGUACUUCUCUUUGGUUGGCUACGUGAUCAUUGUCUAAUCCGUAAGCUGUCUUCAUUGAACUUGUUGAUUUUGAGUUGCGAGUUUAGUUGGCCAACUGGAGCCAUUUAUUGAGAUUUUGGGUGAGCUUCAAUGCUGUGAUUGUUUGUUAAAUUCGGAGGAGAUUUUGAACCUUACGUGCUUAUUGAAUUGACUUGCUGACGACUAUUUGGCUUGCAUUGCUGAAGGAAUGAUUGAGGUUUUUGUGGGGGCUUUGCUUGAGUUAAUUCUGCUAUUGCAUAUUGAGUUGAGAUCCUGUGCCGUUUGACUUACUUUGUGAGGCUGGUCUUGCAUAAUUUCAUUGUUGGGGGCCCUCUGACUGAGAGUUUAAACUUUUGAAGUGGGAAGGCUUUGACUGGGCAUUUUUAAUUGCUGGAACUUUUCUUUUUGUUAUUGAUUGGGUUAUUACUGGGAAAUUAUUGCUUUGUUCUGCUGAGUUUCCUUUGCUAGUUGCAUUUGCUGGUUUCCAUACCUGUUGGAGCUUCUGUUGCUUUGAGCUGACUGUUGGGUGACAUGGUGAGACCAAAAUCCUCCUCUAGGUCUAGGGCAUCUCGUUCUCAACCACCUCCACAAGCAUCUAUUCCUGUGAAUACACCUUCCAACUUACCCUCUUCUUCUAGUGUUCGAACCCGCUUGGGUAGGGGUAGGGGUGCUCAGGUGGAUACCCCCGCUCAUUUUGGAGGGCACCUAACCUUCACUAGACCCGCCGAUCAGCAGAGAUAUGCUAAGGUCUGUGAGCGGCGUAUUAUACCUUGCAAAACUUGGGAAAAAUUAACCGUGAUGGGCCUAGGCAUACGAGAGGAGCUCGAGCAGAUGUUUACAGCCAUCGGGUGGCUCCCAUAUCUCGAUAUCUUAUGCCCCGCCUUUGUCGAGCUGACUCGGGAGUUUUAUUCUACCUUUGAGUUUGAGUUUCCCACGAGGUUCACCGUUGAGACGCCCAAUGUCAUCCGUUUCCGUCUGAUGGGUCGGGAAUUUAAUUUUUCAAUUACCCAAUUUAAUCUGGCAUUUGGGUUCAUUACUCGAGAGUAUGCUGAGACUAGGGAGUAUGGUGAGAGUGCAUGUGAUUACAUAGAGUCUUUUCUCUCCCGCUACCGCGCUGUGUGGGAAGACAUGUCUACCGAUCGGCACCGCUACGACCCUUCUAGGUCUAGGAGCUCCUUUCUUAAGGAUCCUAGCGCCCGAUACGUCCAUCGAUUCUUAGCCUACAGCUACUCCGGUCGGAAGGACAGCUCCGGCAUUCUCUCUCGACCCGAGUUUUUCUUCAUCUGGAGUAUGAAGAAUAACAUCAAAGUUAACUUGGGGUGUUGGUUGGCGGCGCAGUUCAAGACCGUCUUAGCCAAAAAGAACAAGCCCCUGAUCCUUGGGUCCUAUAUCACCCACUUGGCAACACAGUUGGGGAUUCUUAACCUGGAGGACCACGACCUACAUUUGGCGUGCGAGAUGGAGCUCUUGGAUGUAGAUUGCUUGGAGAAAAUGGGAGUCGUCGAGCGCCUGCCCGAUGGUUCCUACCAGUUCAUCCCUCCGGGACCAGUUCGAGCUCCAGGGGCGCAUCCUUCGACCCGAGCAGGGCCCUCCUCCUUUCCUGGGUCAGCCGAGGACACUGCUGGGCCAUCUUCUUCUGCGCCACCUCCACCGCAUGGAACUACUGAAUGGCAGCAACUCCGGGAGCAAGUUCAGGCUUUGGAAGCUCGGAUGGUCAACGUCGAUGCCAAUGUCGCUGGCAUAGCACAGAAUUUGGCGCAGUUUCUGCUUCAUACGGGCUUCGCUCCUUCGUGUCCACCUCGCCCACCAUUUUGACCUGGCUUCAGGGAAGUUUGGUUGCUUUCUCCCUCACUUUUGCUGUUUAUUUGACACAUUGAGGACACUGUGUCCUAUAGGUGUGGGAGGGUCUAUAGUCUUUUUAGUUUUUAGUAGUUUUUAGUUUUAUUUCUAGUUGCUUAUUUUCUUUCUUUCUUUCUUCUUCGUGCUUAUCCCUCAUGUGAAAAAAAUGAUAUUGGUUUAUUGACUCUAAUUCUACUUUUGCCGAGUUUUUAAAAAUAAAAAUGUAUCAGGUUCAUGUGGUUGGGUCCAAAAUAUCUCCUUGGUGAAUAUCGGAUUGCUUGACUCUUUUGAUUUCUUUGUUAACUUUUCUAGGCAUAGGGAAUGACUGUUGGCGUUUUAAUGUGAACUGGUCCAAUAUUGACUCCAGUUCUCCAUGUUUGGUAAUAAUAAGGCAAGCUGCUCCUAUGCGUGGUUAUUAGUGUUGUUAUGUUGCGUUUUUGCAUUGUUUUGCUGUGAAUAAACUUGACUGUACUCCGCUAUUAGUUGCUGCUGAGUAACCGGGAAUCUGCACCUAAAAGUGUCGAUUCUCGCGUCGAAAGGUGGUACUUUCUAUGAGUACGUGGUCGUAUAGUGGUAGGAGCUGAGUAACCGGGCUCUUUCAUCUAAAAAUGUUGGAGUUCGCAUCCUAAAGGCUCCGGCGGCUAGAGACUAAGUUUUUUUGUGUUAAUUAUUGCUAUAAAACAAAAAAAAAAGAAGAAAAAAAAGGAAAAAGAGAAGAAAGAAUAAAUAAUAGGGAAGCUUGCUGGUUUAUGGACUUAAUAUGGAGACUUGUGUGAUUAUUCGGACCAUUAACUGAUAAAUGUUAUGCGCCAUUCCUUUUCCUUAGAUUAGUUAAUUUGGAAAUUGAAGGAGUCUGCGGUUUAGAAGCUAUCUAGGGUGAUGGUUCUCGGAUUUUAAUCACUAGUGCUCGAUAUAUGAUCCUCCUUGAUAUCUUGGCAAUUUGGUGGAUAGAGCAAUGGCCAUUAUCAAAUUUUGGUGUUCGUUUACUAUUCUUAUGCUUGAGGAUAAGCAUGGUUUAAGUGUGGAGGAAUUGAUAGGGUGUAAUUUUCUCUUUUAUUUUAUUAUUAAUUUCCCCUAUUACCUGAUUUGAUGUGGAUUAAUUAGUAGAUUCUACUCCCUUUUCGUAAUUUACACUUAUUUCAGGGAGUAGAGCGAAAAUAUGAUAACAGGUGCACAUUUGACAGAAAAAGAGUUCCGAUGAUAGAGAUUGUCCCAGGGAUACUUUUGGAAAAGAAGAUGUUAAGCCCAUUUUGGUAAAUUCCGCAAGGAAAUGACGGCUGAAGGGCUUCACUCUGCUGAGGUGCCGCCGGCAAUUAAAAGGAGGGGGGAGAAAGCAAUGGGUGGCUGGCUUUUAUUCUUAGCUUUUUCGUCUGUAGCUGAGGAUGAAUUGUUGACUUUUCCUAGAGAUUUUCUUUUGGCUUCUCUUACGCAUGGCAAGAGAGCUUAGCUUUAGUGUUUUAACCUUUUCUUGUUAGCUAUUUGUGGCUUUUGUCUCCACGCAUGUCAGGAGCAAAGAAUUGGAGCCUACUUUCUUUGACUUUUCCUUCUUGUACCUUUCGAGUGGCUUUGCUCUACGGAAGUUAGGAACAAUGAAGAGCUUCAAUUGUUACCUGUGACUUUCAUUUUGCUCUCUAAUUGUUCGACGAAGUGCGGCUCUUGAAAUGCAGACAAUGGCCGUGAUUUUUGCUGAAAUUUUCCGCGGACGUAGUUCAUCAACUAUGAACUAAUUUUCUCAUUCUAGUCAAGAAACGACGGAUGCUUUGGGUUGCCUAAAAA
rnacentral:lncRNA from 1 species